GAAAUGCAUUUAGGUGCAGCGUUGCGUGUUUCUUGCCGGAGGUAGAGCUACUGGAUGGCCGAUGGGCCCUACAAGGUUACUGACGUCAGCCAAACUCCGAAUGCCGGUAAGUGAGAGCGCAGCAGUGAGACUGUGGGGGGGAUAAGCUUCAUAGUCGAGAGGGGAAAACAACCCCAGACCACCCAAACUAAGGGUCCCCUAAGCGCGUGCUAAGUGGGGAAAAGGGAUGUGGGAGUUUGCUUUUGACAACCCAGGGAGGGUUUGGGCUUUAGAAAGCAGCCCACCCCCUUUGAAAAAGAGUGCGUAAUAGCUCACUGGUCAAAGUGAUUUCCGCGCCCGACAAUGUAAACGGGGGGCUCAAAGCACGCCACCGAAGUUGUGGGCAUUGACAUUUUUUGGUAGG
rnacentral:ncRNA from 1 species